rnacentral:misc_RNA from 1 species
GAUGAAGAACGCAGUGAAAUGCGAUAAGUAAUGUGAAUUGCAGAAUUCAGUGAAUCAUCGAGUCUUUGAACGCACAUUGCGCCCGCCAGUAUUCUGGCGGGCAUGCCUGUUCGAGCGUCAUUUCAACCAUCAAGCCCCCCGGCUUGUGUUGGGGACCUGCGGCUGCCGCAGGCCCUGAAAAGCAGUGGCGGGCUCGCUGUCACACCGAGCGUAGUAGAUCUCAUCUCGCUCAGGGCGUGCUGCGGGUUCCGGCCGUUAAACCACCUUCAUAACCCAAGGUUGACCUCGGAUCAGGUAGGAAGACCCGCUGAACUUAAGCAUAUCAAUAAGCGGAGGA